GUCCAGGAGCCCAGCUGAUACACUCAAGUCUGCCACAGCAACUCACGGAACACUGACUUUGUGUGUAAUUGCAAUUUCCAGCAGAGGAAAAAUGCUGACUGAAAACACACCUGGCGCUGGGAUAAGGUGAACUCUGUUUCUGGAGGCUGAGUGGUACUAUUCAUGUUUCUGAGUGCUGACACGGCAAACAGUCGCUCACCGAAUAUUUUCACACUGAUCGACCUCGUGGCGAGCCGCUACAGCUGUUUGAAAUGACUUAUACAGACAGAAAAGCAUCAAAUUUGUGGGAAGACUAGAUGGUUGUGAAAAUUGAUGUCCUGCCUGUCAGUCUAUCGCAUAAAAUCCUAAUAAAAUACAUUUAAGUUUAUGGUUGUCAUGCAACACAAUGGGAAAAGUGGAAUGAAUACUCUCAAAAGGAAGAGGUAACAAUAUUGAC